rnacentral:rRNA from 1 species
AGUGAACGCUGGCGGCGUGCCUAAUACAUGCAAGUCGAACGGAGUGGCGCACGGGGGAGUAAUAUAUAGCUAAUCGGCCCCUUGAUGGAGGACAAAAGUUAGAAAUGACUGCUAAUACUCCAUAGCAAGGGAUGAGACGAUAUCGUCUCAGCGAGUCGGGGGGGGAACGGCCUACCGAGGCUAUGACGCGUAACUGGUCUUAGAGGAUGCUCCGUCACCUUGGCACGGAGGCACGAGCCAACAUUCUGCGGGAAGCGGGAAUAGGGAAUCUUGCGCAACGGGGGAGACCCGUACGCAGCUACGCCGCGUGGAGGAUGUUACUUAUCGGAGCGUAGGCACCUUUUGUUAGGGGAGCGGUAGCUAACGAAUAAGCACCGGCUAACUCCGUGCCAGCAGCCGCGGUAAUAC